rnacentral:rRNA from 1 species
GAUUUUAAGCUUCUACGGGAGGCUGCAGUGGGGAAUAUUGGACAAUGGGCGCAAGCCUGAUCCAGCCAUACCGCGUGGGUGAAGAAGGCCUUCGGGUUGUAAAGCCCUUUUGUUGGGAAAGAAAUCCAACUGGUUAAUACCCGGUUGGGAUGACGGUACCCAAAGAAUAAGCACCGGCUAACUUCGUGCCAGCAGCCGCGGUAAUACGAAGGGUGCAAGCGUUACUCGGAAUUACUGGGCGUAAAGCGUGCGUAGGUGGUUAUUUAAGUCCGUUGUGAAAGCCCUGGGCUCAACCUGGGAACUGCAGUGGAUACUGGAUGACUAGAAUGUGGUAGAGGGUAGCGGAAUUCCUGGUGUAGCAGUGAAAUGCGUAGAGAUCAGGAGGAACAUCCAUGGCGAAGGCAGCUACCUGGACCAACAUUGACACUGAGGCACGAAAGCGUGGGGAGCAAACAGGAUUAGAUACCCUUGUAGUCGAA